UNGUGAUGGUUGUACUGUUAUAAAGGGCC
rnacentral:piRNA from 1 species